GCAGUUCGAGCGAGAACGUACCCUUCGGGGUGCUAGUAGAGCGGCGAACGGGUGAGUAACACGUUAAGCAACCUGCCUCUAAAUCGGGAAUAACCUUGCUAACGCGGGGCUAAUACCGGAUGUGAUCCAGAUUUCGCAUGGUUUCUGGAUUAAAGGUGACCUCUACAUGUAAGUUAUCGUUUAGAGAUGGGCUUGCGGACCAUUAGCUUGUUGGUGGGGUAACGGCCUACCAAGGCUACGAUGGUUAGCCGACCUGAGAGGGUGAUCGGCCACAUUGGGACUGAGAUACGGCCCAGACUCCUACGGGAGGCAGCAGUAGGGAAUUUUGCGCAAUGGACGAAAGUCUGACGCAGCAACUCCGCGUGAGGGAUGAAUGCCUUCGGGUUGUAAACCUCUGUUGAGUGGGAAGAAAACGUUUUUUGCUAAUAUCAAAAAGCCAUGACGGUACCACUCGAGGAAGCUCCGGCUAACUACGUGCCAGCAGCCGCGGUAAUACGUAGGGAGCUAGCGUUGUUCGGAAUCACUGGGCGUAAAGGGAGCGUAGGCGGGAGAGUAAGUUAGAAGUGAAAUGUAUCGGCUCAACCGGUAACCUGCUUUUAAUACUGCUUUUCUUGAGUAUGGGAGAGGAAGAUGGAAUUCCUGGUGUAGCGGUGGAAUGCGUANAUAUCUGGAAGAACNCCAAUUGCGAAGGCGGUCUUCUGGCCCAAUACUGAACGCUGAGGCUCGAAA
rnacentral:rRNA from 1 species